GAUGAAGAACGUAGCGAAAUGCGAUAAGUAAUGUGAAUUGCAGAAUUCAGUGAAUCAUCGAAUCUUUGAACGCACAUUGCGCCCCCUGGUAUUCCGGGGGGCAUGCCUGUCCGAGCGUCAUUACAACCCUCAAGCUCAGCUUGGUAUUGGGCCCCGCCGCUCCGGCGGGCCCUAAAGUCAGUGGCGGUGCCGUCCGGCUCCGAGCGUAGUAAUUCUUCUCGCUCUGGAGGUCCGGUCGUGUGCUCGCCAGCAACUCCCAAUUUUUUUCAGGUUGACCUCGGAUCAGGUAGGGAUACCCGCUGAACUUAAGCAUAUCAAUAAGCGGAGGA
rnacentral:misc_RNA from 1 species